AAUCAACGCUGGCGGCGUGCCUAACACAUGCAAGUCGAACGCGAAAGUCCCGCAAGGGAUUAGUAGAGUGGCAAACGGGUGAGUAACACGUGGGUGACCUGCCUUCGAGUGGGGGAUAACGUCCCGAAAGGGACGCUAAUACCGCAUAACAUCCUGCCUUUUAAGAGGUGGAGAUCAAAGCUGGGGACCUAAGGCCUGGCGCUGGAAGAGGGGUCCGCGUCUGAUUAGCUAGUUGGUGAGGAACGGCUCACCAAGGCAACGAUCAGUAUCCGGCCUGAGAGGGCGGACGGACACACUGGGACUGAGACACGGCCCAGGACUCCUACGGGAGGCAGCAGUGGGGAAUUGUUCGCAAUGGGCGCAAGCCUGACGACGCAACGCCGCGUGGA
rnacentral:rRNA from 1 species